rnacentral:rRNA from 1 species
CGGACGGGUGAGUAAUGUCUGGGAAACUGCCCGAUGGAGGGGAUAACUACUGGAAACGGUAGCUAAUACCGCAUAACGUCGCAAGACCAAGAGGGGGACCUUCGGGCCUCUUGCCAUCGGAUGUGCCCAGAUGGGAUUAGCUAGUAGGUGGGGUAACGGCUCACCUAGGCGACGAUCCCUAGCUGGUCUGAGAGGAUGACCAGCCACACUGGAACUGAGACACGGUCCAG